UUGUCUCAAAGAUUAAGCCAUGCAUGUCUCAGUACAAGCCAAAUUAAGGUGAAACCGCGAAAGGCUCAUUAAAUCAGUUAUGGUUCCUUAGAUCGUACCCACAUUACUUGGAUAACUGUGGUAAUUCUAGAGCUAAUACAUGCAAACAGAGCUCCGACCGGAAGGAAGGAGUGCUUUUAUUAGAUCAAAACCAAUCGAUUGCGGUUGGUGACUCUGAAUAACUUUACGCUGAUCGCACGGUCAUCGCACCGGCGACGCAUCUUUCAAAUGUCUGCCUUAUCAACUGUCGAUGGUAGGUUCUGCGCCUACCAUGGUUGUAACGGGUAACGGGGAAUCAGGGUUCGAUUCCGGAGAGGGAGCCUGAGAAACGGCUACCACAUCCAAGGAAGGCAGCAGGCGCGCAAAUUACCCACUCCCGGCACGGGGAGGUAGUGACGAAAAAUAACGAUACGGGACUCAUCCGAGGCCCCGUAAUCGGAAUGAGUACACUCUAAACCCUUUAACGAGGAUCAAUUGGAGGGCAAGUCUGGUGCCAGCAGCCGCGGUA
rnacentral:rRNA from 1 species